AGAGUUUGAUCAUGGCUCAGAUUGAACGCUGGCGGCAGGCCUAACACAUGCAAGUCGAACGGUAACAGGAAACAGCUUGCUGUUUCGCUGACGAGUGGCGGACGGGUGAGUAAUGUCUGGGAAACUGCCUGAUGGAGGGGGAUAACUACUGGAAACGGUAGCUAAUACCGCAUAACGUCGCAAGACCAAAGAGGGGGACCUUCGGGCCUCUUGCCAUCAGAUGUGCCCAGAUGGGAUUAGCUAGUAGGUGGGGUAACGGCUCACCUAGGCGACGAUCCCUAGCUGGUCUGAGAGGAUGACCAGCCACACUGGAACUGAGACACGGUCCAGACUCCUACGGGAAGCAGCAGUGGGGAAUAUUGCACAAUGGGCGCAAGCCUGAUGCAGCCAUGCCGCGUGUAUGAAGAAGGCCUUCGGGUUGUAAAGUACUUUCAGCGGGGAGGAAGGGAGUAAAGUUAAUACCUUUGCUCAUUGACGUUACCCGCAGAAGAAGCACCGGCUAACUCCGUGCCAGCAGCCGCGGUAAUACGGAGGGUGCAAGCGUUAAUCGGAAUUACUGGGCGUAAAGCGCACGCAGGCGGUUUGUUAAGUCAGAUGUGAAAUCCCCGGGCUCAACCUGGGAACUGCAUCUGAUACUGGCAAGCUUGAGUCUCGUAGAGGGGGGUAGAAUUCCAGGUGUAGCGGUGAAAUGCGUAGAGAUCUGGAGGAAUACCGGUGGCGAAGGCGGCCCCCUGAACGAAGACUGACGCUCAGGUGCGAAAGCGUGGGGAGCAAACAGGAUUAGAUACCCUGGUAGUCCACGCCGUAAACGAUGUCGACUUGGAGGUUGUGCCCUUGAGGCGUGGCUUCCGGAGCUAACGCGUUAAGUCGACCGCCUGGGGAGUACGGCCGCAAGGUUAAAACUCAAAUGAAUUGACGGGGGCCCGCACAAGCGGUGGAGCAUGUGGUUUAAUUCGAUGCAACGCGAAGAACCUUACCUGGUCUUGACAUCCACGGAAGUUUUCAGAGAUGAGAAUGUGCCUUCGGGAACCGUGAGACAGGUGCUGCAUGGCUGUCGUCAGCUCGUGUUGUGAAAUGUUGGGUUAAGUCCCGCAACGAGCGCAACCCUUAUCCUUUGUUGCCAGCGGUCCGGCCGGGAACUCAAAGGAGACUGCCAGUGAUAAACUGGAGGAAGGUGGGGAUGACGUCAAGUCAUCAUGGCCCUUACGACCAGGGCUACACACGUGCUACAAUGGCGCAUACAAAGAGAAGCGACCUCGCGAGAGCAAGCGGACCUCAUAAAGUGCGUCGUAGUCCGGAUUGGAGUCUGCAACUCGACUCCAUGAAGUCGGAAUCGCUAGUAAUCGUGGAUCAGAAUGCCACGGUGAAUACGUUCCCGGGCCUUGUACACACCGCCCGUCACACCAUGGGAGUGGGUUGCAAAAGAAGUAGGUAGCUUAACCUUCGGGAGGGCGCUUACCACUUUGUGAUUCAUGACUGGGGUGAAGUCGUAACAAGGUAACCGUAGGGGAACCUGCGGUUG
rnacentral:rRNA from 1 species